rnacentral:lncRNA from 1 species
GGCAUCUUCCAGUAGGACCUGGCUUCACAUUGGCUUUUGCUGAUAUCCAGAAGCCCAGCAGUUUUUAAAAGGACUGAGUGACAUCACUGCAGAAGCAGAAGUGGGAAGUCGCCACUGAGAUUGUGGGAGCUAGGACACCCUUGGAAUAGAAUGGUCAGGUUGCGAAGCAUUGCCAAACUCUAUUAAUGGGAUACACGAUUUUAGGCAAGUCACCCAAGUUUCCAUGUGUGUAAUGGAGGAAGUCAAGGCCGAGCUUCCUUGGAGGACAGCUGAGAGGAAGAGCAGAAAGAACAGAAUGGAGAAGCUUAGGCUUCACUGAACAGUCUCUCCUUCUCAGAACCUCAUAGCCCAUGGUUGUUAGACCAGGAGUCCCUUGGGUAGCCGGGAUGUUCCUUGUCACUGUGUUCCCACAGAAAGACGCCAUUUUUGGUCCGGGAGGCAGUAUAAAAAGUGGAUGGCUUUAGAGGGAGAAGAAAAGAGCAGGUCGUUGGGGUUUUAUCCAAUAAAAGGAUGGAGUCAAUUACA